GAGACAGAAGAGAGUCAGUCCCAUCUGUUUUGAGAGGAGGAAAACAUCUCACUGUUCAUCUGGAGAAGAGAGCUCCGCAAGUUUGAAUCGUUCACGCCUGUCAUUAUGGGGGGUUUGCUUCUGCUCCUGAUGUUUCUACAUACCCCUCAAGACGUGUCGCCUCAAGAGAGUGAUCCUUGUCAUACUUACACUGAGCUGAACGACACCUGGAGGGCCAACACCAAUCUGGACAGGUCAGUGGUGAGGUGCGACCGUGACGUCCAGUGGCAGGGUUGGUACCGCAUGUUCUACCAGGGGACGAGCGUUGGCAUGCCCGAGAGCUGUGUACCCACAAAACGGUGUGGCACGAACGCACC